rnacentral:tRNA from 1 species
AUAUGAUGAGUUCGUUAAAGGGGGCGGAUUGUAAAUCCGCUGGUUUUGCCUACGUUGGUUCAAAUCCAACUCGGCCCA